rnacentral:rRNA from 1 species
GGUUGUAAACUGCUUUUAUACAGGAAGAAACACUGCUACGUGUAGCAGCUUGACGGUACUGUAAGAAUAAGGACCGGCUAACUCCGUGCCAGCAGCCGCGGUAAUACGGAGGGUCCGAGCGUUAUCCGGAAUCAUUGGGUUUAAAGGGUCCGCAGGCGGUCAAUUAAGUCAGAGGUGAAAUCCCAUAGCUUAACUAUGGAACUGCCUUUGAUACUGGUUGACUUGAGUCAUAUGGAAGUAGAUAGAAUGUGUAGUGUAGCGGUGAAAUGCAUAGAUAUUACACAGAAUACCGAUUGCGAAGGCAGUCUACUACGUAUGUACUGACGCUCAUGGACGAAAGCGUGGGGAGCGAACAGGAUUAGAUACCCUGGUAGUCCACGCCGUAAACGAUGGACACUAGUUGUUGGGC